UACGGGAGGCAGCAGUGGGGAAUAUUGGACAAUGGGNGAAAGCCUGAUCCAGCCAUGCCGNGUGUGUGAAGAAGGUCUUCGGAUUGUAAAGCACUUUAAGUUGGGAGGAAGGGCAGUAAAUUAAUACUUUGCUGUUUUGACGUUACCGACAGAAUAAGCCCCGGCUAACUCUGUGCCAGCAGCCGCGGUAAUACAGAGGGUGCAAGCGUUAAUCGGAAUUNCUGGGCGUAAAGCGCGCGUAGGUGGUUCGUUAAGUUGGAUGUGAAAUCCCCGGGCUCAACCUGGGAACUGCAUUCAAAACUGACGAGUUAGAGUAUGGUAGAGGGUGGUGGAAUUUCCNGGGUAGGGGUGAAAUGGGUAGAUAUAGGAAGGAACACCAGUGGGGAAGGCGACCACCUGGACUGAUACUGACAUUGAGGUGNGAAAGCGUGGGGAGCAAACAGGAUUAGAUACCCUGGUAGUCCACNCCGUAAACGAUGUCAACUAGCCGUUGGGAGCCUUGAGCUCUUAGUGGCGCAGCUAACGCAUUAAGU
rnacentral:rRNA from 1 species